ACCCUUCGGAUUCCUUACCCCUAGGAUCUAAAUGUCGGUCUGACUGGCUAAAAAGGGGGAAAAGUAAAAUGGAAGUGGACUUAGAGUUUUUACUGAGCUACAAGUUCAUUUCAAACACUU
rnacentral:snoRNA from 1 species